CCAAUAGCGUAUAUUAAAGUUGUUGCAGUUAAAAAGCUCGUAGUUGAACUUCGGGGUUUACCCAUUGGUCAGGCUUAAUUGUCUGUACUGGUGAGAUAAAUCUCUACCUUCUGAGGAACUUUCAUGUCAUUAAUUUGGUGUGAUUGGAAAUCAGGACUGUUACUUUGAAAAAAUUAGAGUGUUUAAAGCAGGCUAACGUCUGAAUACAUUAGCAUGGAAUAAUGAAAUAGGACGGACUGAUUCUAUUUCGUUGGUUUCUAGGAUCACCGUAAUGAUUAAUAGGGAUAGUUGGGGGCAUUAGUAUUCAAUUGUCAGAGGUGAAAUUCUUGGAUUUAUUGAAGACUAACUACUGCGAAAGCAUUUGCCAAGGAUGUUUUCAUUAAUCAAGAACGAAAGUUAGGGGAUCGAAGACGAUCAGAUACCGUCGUAGUCUUAACCAUAAACUAUGCCGACUAGGGAUCGGACGAAGUUAAUUUUUUAAUGACGCGUUCGGCACCUUACG
rnacentral:rRNA from 1 species